GCUUGGCUGGCUCAGUGGAGCGUGAGACUUUUGAUCUCAGGGUUGUGAGUUUGAGCCCCAUGUUGGGUA
rnacentral:tRNA from 1 species